CGGAUGUCGCUAGCAAAGCUGCCAAGUACUGAGUGAUGAGAGAUGGCAUCUCGAUCGAUAGUCGAACACGUACCUUCCGAACACAAGUCCAGAGACUGCCUUCCUCAACAACCUGCUGACAAACACAGUAAGAAGUGAGGCUUGGACCGAGGACUUUACUAAGACGCUUGCCAAAGGUUCUUUGUCAACAACUUUCAUCUUCAAGAUGGCAGAUCCUACACUGAAGAAGGAAAGCAGUCAUCUGUCUAUCUCCUGAGGUCACUCUGCUGUUGGCUUCGUUUUGGAUGUGAAUCCCAGCUCCGCGUUAUGGACUUUUCGAGGGAGAGACUCGCGGGCCGAGAUGGGUUCACGGCCCACAAUCUACGUCCUCUGGGGUUGUGUCUCUUCAUAAGGAGCCUGAGGGGAGGUGGCAUCUGGCACCAACGUCACGGAUGCUAAAUUAUGCAUCGCCCGGAUGCAGCACUCCACUGUUCUGUCUUUGUAUGCUCAGCGGAUUCCUUUUCGGUACUCGUACAUCAAUUGCCAUGUCCCUCACCUUGUUUCGUCGUUAAUAUUCUUUUCACGUUCUCCCCAUACGUCCGUUUUAUCAUUCUUCUUUAUAUCGACAGUUCUCCCUCUUUCGUAUUUCUCAUUCACAAAUUCUCAUUCUCUCUUGACCAUGAAAAUCGCAGUUAAUGCAAUGGGAUAAGGAAGGAAAUAUUUAUCAUAGACAUAUGAAAUGCAUACGAAAUUUUGAUAGGAAGUGCUUGAAUUAUAAGACCAUUUGCAAGGUCUAGAGUAGGAAACUUUUGCAACGUAAAAAAAUUAUGAAUAAAACAGUGUUCCCACUCAAAAUUCGUACACACACUUUUAUUUCUCCUGGCAGAAAGACAUGCAACGACAUUGAUCACGUGUCGAGAUAUGACGAAAAUCAAGUGUACGUGGUGCCAACUUUUACCAGAUUUUACUGUGACAUGUAACACUAUUUGAUAGUUGAGUAUCUAGGGAAAUAUUAUCGGCAAGUAAAGAUAGAUAAACAAGUCUGUAAUGGGGAAAUUUGAUGUCAGGAACCCAGACGGUGUACAAAUAA